GGCGGGGGAGGCUCGCUAACCCACACGGGAGAGCUCGGCUCCAGGCUUCCCCAGUGCCACGACAGAUAUGCGUCUUUAUUUACCCCAUGAGUUUUGGAGAGCGGACGGAGUAUCCAGAGGAGGUAUCAGAAAUCUCAUUGGAUCCUAAAGACCCAUCAUCCAGGUUUCUUUCCUUUUCCUCUCCAUUUUCCCUCAAGUCGCCGGUCACCUGCCGUUCCCAGAGACUUCCCUGGCUUGCAGGGAUGCUCUUCACCUCGGAAAGCAAAACCACGGCUUUGGGUACUCAAAAAGAGGAAGAGACAUCUUGCCAUGAGCACACAAGUUUGAAUUAUUAGGCUGUAAAUUUCGUACCGUGAUAAAAGCUUCAGCUGUGUUGUUCAAUAUUAAAGUUUUUGGCAAAAGCUUUA